rnacentral:rRNA from 1 species
UACGUAGGGCGCAAGCGUUAUCCGGAAUUAUUGGGCGUAAAAGAGCUCGUAGGCGGUUUGUCGCGUCUGCCGUGAAAGUCCGGGGCUCAACUCCGGAUCUGCGGUGGGUACGGGCAGACUAGAGUGAUGUAGGGGGAGACUGGAAUUCCUGGUGUAGCGGUGGAAUGCGCAGAUAUCAGGAGGAACACCGAUGCGAAGGCAGAUCUCUGGGCCGUAACUGACGCUGAGGAGCGAAAGCAUGGGGAGCGAACAGG